rnacentral:rRNA from 1 species
GGGGACAACCAGCCGAAAGGUUGGCUAAUACCGCAUGAGUUCUACGGAAGAAAGAGGGGGACCCGCAAGGGCCUCUCGCGAGCGGAGCGGCCGAUGACUGAUUAGCCGGUUGGUGAGGUAACGGCUCACCAAAGCAACGAUCAGUAGCUGGUCUGAGAGGACGACCAGCCACACUGGGACUGAGACACGGCCCAGACUCCUACGGGAGGCAGCAGUGGGGAAUUUUAGACAAUGGGCGCAAGCCUGAUCCAGCUAUUCCGCGUGUGGGAUGAAGGCCCUCGGGUUGUAAACCACUUUUGUAGAGAACGAAAAGACACCUUCGAAUAAAGGGUGUUGCUGACGGUACUCUAAGAAUAAGCACCGGCUAACUACGUGCCAGCAGCCGCGGUAAUACGUAGGGUGCGAGCGUUAAUCGGAAUUACUGGGCGUAAAGGGUGCGCAGGCGGUUGAGUAAGACAGAUGUGAAAUCCCCGAGCUUAACUCGGGAAUGGCAUAUGUGACUGCUCGGCUAGAGUGUGUCAGAGGGAGGUGGAAUUCCACGUGUAGCAGUGAAAUGCGUAGAUAUGUGGAAGAACACCGAUGGCGAAGGCAGCCUCCUGGGACAUAACUGACGCUCAGGCACGAAAGCGUGGGGAGCAAACAGGAUUAGAUACCCU